GUAGUCAAAGAGGUGAAGUUAAAGUUCAAAUUCUUCUAAGUCUAGAGGUGUGGGAAAUGGGAUUAAUGGGCCGUCCAUGGAGAUGUCACUGCUUUAUUGACUGUCACAAUUAAAUUCAUUGACUUUAGUCAGUGAAUUGUCAAAUUAGUCCCCCUCACUGGAGGGUGCAAAAGGAAGCAGACAAGCAAAGUAUAUGAAGAAAUCCUCUCAAAUCCCAUCUCUCCACUCCUGGAUAAACGGAAGGGAGAAGAACAGCUGGAAUUCUUGAGGAGUCUCAAAACAAAAUAUGUCUCAGAGGAAUUUAAUGAACCCCAAAGGAAAGAGAGUCUAACAUGUUAUGGUUAACAGUAUGUUAACCAUUCUCUAACACUGGUUCUCAAACAUUUGGUUUGAGACCAUUUUGUAGUCUUAAAAAUUAUUGAAGAUUCUAAGAAGAUUUUAUGUGGAUGCUAUCAUCUUUACAAUAUCAUAAUGUAAAACUGAUUGUUUAGAAUAUUAAUCCAUUUAGAUGUAAACAAAAACCUAUUACAUGUCAACAUAAAUAACUUGCUUUCAUUUUUUAAAAACUUAUUUUCCAAAACAAAAUAAAAAUUGUGAAAAAAUGCUAUUAUUUUCCUUAUUUUUUUUUUGCAAAUCUUCAUAAUGUCUGCAUUAAUAAGACAGCUGGAUUCUCAUAUCUGUUUCUACUUUCAAUCUGUUACAAUCUGUUGUUUUAGUUGAAGUUUAUGAAGAAAAUCUAGUCUUACAUAGAUGUAUACCUAGAAAGGAGUGGGAGUAGUAUUUUAAUUGUCAAAUAAUAUCUUUAAAUUAUUAUGAAAAUAUGCAAAGGUCCUAGGGCCAUUCAUGGGUCUGUUCUACAUUUUGAGAAUCUCUGCUGACACCACUGCUGACAAAUAAUCAUCCAGUCGUUGCCGAAAAUCUUUGAUAAAGAGAAAUUCAGUAUCCCCUAGGUCUUUCAUUCUACUUUUGGACACUUCUAAAGUUAGGAAGUCUGUCUUCAGUGUGACCUGAAAACUUCCUUUUUGCAAGUUUUUACCCAAAUAUAGAAAGGAACAGUUGGCAACUGAGUCCCCAGCUUGAAAAAGUAGAUUAUAGAAUUUCUACAAUUUGGUCAAUUUUUUCUCAAAAUGGUAGUGGAAAAUUCAUAAACCUGUAGUUUGGUCUGCUAGUCCACAGUCACAAAGCAUCCUAAAGCAUGAAAUCUUGAGGGUCUUUAAUCUCUUAUUCUAAACAAAGCCCAGGGUUUGAAUGAUACAAGAAACUUUUCAAAUCGUUAAGGCUAAAGAGUUAAUCAUCUGUUGGCCAAACCUAAAAAGAGAAGCUUCUUUACAUUUAGCCCAACAGCAAGCCCAUCUCUGGACCUUAACUGGAAACUUUCUCUUCUUAAUAGGAUUUUCAAAAAACCCUUCAUUAGCCUCGGGUAACAUUUAGGGCUCCAAAGUCCUUACUAUGAUAAAAUACUGGAAAAAGACUUGAGUGGAGAAGGGGGAG
rnacentral:lncRNA from 1 species